rnacentral:rRNA from 1 species
AGAGUUUGAUCCUGGCUCAGGACGAACGCUGGCGGCGCGCUUCAUACAUGCAAGUCGAACGUGAAGCCCGGAGCUUGCUCUGGGUGGAAAGUGGCGAACGGGUGAGGAACACGUGAGGAACCUGCCCCGAAGACCGGGAUAACACCGGGAAACCGGUGCUAAUACCGGAUGCCCUCAUCGGAGCUCAUGCUCCGAUGAGGAAAUGGAUUCCGCUUCGGGAUGGCCUCGCGGCCUAUCAGCUUGUUGGUGGGGUAACGGCCCACCAAGGCUUCGACGGGUAGCUGGUCUGAGAGGAUGUCCAGCCACACUGGGACUGAGACACGGCCCAGACUCCUACGGGAGGCAGCAGUAGGGAAUCUUGCGCAAUGAGCGAAAGCUUGACGCAGCGACGCCGCGUGCGGGAUGAGGGCCCUCGGGUCGUAAACCGCUUUCAGCAGGGACGAAACUGACGGUACCUGCAGAAGAGC